UCAAUCAUUCGAAGAACACAUUUUUGAAACUUUCCCUCAUAAGCUAAGGCCUUCUCAAACCCAACUCUUGUCCUAUUAGUUAGAAGGAAAUAUAUUAGUAAUUAGAUAAUAGGUUUUCAAAAUUAAUUAUCAAAUAACAUGAAGAGAAGACUUCUUCAACUCAUAGUAAAAGUUGGGAUUUAGAAAUGCUCCAGCUUCAAACAAAUCAUGGUUGAAGUGUUUAUCUAAUCUUUUCUUCAUGAUAGCCUUUAGACUUCUCAACAUUCCAGGUUUGUUUUCAAAAUGAGUUUCAAUUGUUUUGUUCGUCUUCUCAAAACAUUGAGUGACAUGCCCCAUGCAUGGCUUAUCAUCUGUAUCCACCAAUCUCAAAAGAGCAACUAAAGCCUGAGAUGCUUUCAAACAAUCUUCCACACCUGUCCAGAAAGCUCUAGCAAAGACAUUCCUCUGCACUUCCUCUCCAUGUCCAAUAUCUAGCCACUUCUGCCAAUCCAACUUGCCUAUCCAACUUGCCAAUCCAGUUCUACGCUCUGCAAAGUCAGGAACGAAGUGGCAAAUCUUGUGACGCCACACCUAAUCAAUUCCUUGUUAUUGCUUAAUCUCAAAAACUCAGCAUGAAGAACUGAAUGCGUGUAUACAUAUGUAGUGAUCUGACGGCCUGAUAAAAUCACCUUUUUAAAUGAAGGUAUCUUGCCAAUAUCCUCCAGUAUUAGGUCAAUGCAAUGCGCCACACAUGGAGUCCAAUACAGAUGACUAUACUUCUCCAUCAGAAUUUUUCCUGCUCUCACGUAGUUUUGUGUCAUUCUUUUCCUCCUCGGUGGUUUUAGAAUGCCACUUGAUUAACUGUUCACGUUCAUCUUCUCCAACAACUUGAUGGGAUAAGUCAUUGGCAUCAACAUCAUCAAGUGGCUCUUCAUCAAGUGGCUCUUCAUCACCAUGUGCGUCUUCAUUGGCAUCGACUUCAUAGUCGUAGUACAUGUCGUCAUUCUCUUGG
rnacentral:lncRNA from 1 species